rnacentral:rRNA from 1 species
AUAAGGAGUCGGACCUGCCCAGUGAAUAAUUUUAAACGGCCGCGGUACUCUGACCGUGCAAAGGUAGCAUAAUCAUUUGCCCUAUAAUUGAGGGCUAGUAUGAAUGGUUUGACAAGAAUGUAACUGUCUCUUUAUGAUUAUUUAGAAUUUUAUUUUUAGGUGAAGAAGCCUAAAUACAAUUAAAAGACAAGAAGACCCUAUCGAGCUUUAAAUAAAUUAAUGAAUUAUAAGAAAUAUUUAUUAUAAAACAGCAUUCGUUAAAAAUUUUGGUUGGGGCGACAAAGGAACAAAGAAAACUUCCUUCUUAUAUGAAUAACUAACUAGUAUUGAUCCAAAAAUUUUGAUUAAUGAAAUUAGUUACCGUAGGGAUAACAGCAUUAUCUUUUUUGAGAGCUCAUAUCGAAAAAAAGGUUUGUGACCUCGAUGUUGGACCAGAAUAUCCUAAAGAUGCAGAAGUCUUUAAGGGUUGGUCUGUUCGACCAUUAAAAUUCUA